rnacentral:tRNA from 1 species
AUUUAUUUAAUAUAAAAAGUAUAUUUGAUUUCCAAUCAAAAAGUCUUAUCAUCUAUAGAAUAAAUA